UACGUAGGGUGCGAGCGUUAAUCGGAAUUACUGGGCGUAAAGCGUGCGCAGGCGGUUUUGUAAGUCAGAUGUGAAAUCCCCGAGCUCAACUUGGGAACUGCGUUUGAAACUACAAGACUAGAAUAUGUCAGAGGGGGGUAGAAUUCCACGUGUAGCAGUGAAAUGCGUAGAGAUGUGGAGGAACACCGAUGGCGAAGGCAGCCCCCUGGGUCAAGAUUGACGCUCAUGCACGAAAGCGUGGGGAGCAAACAGG
rnacentral:rRNA from 1 species